UGAGGAACAUGACCUUCGGCGGGGGAUAGCCGGCCCAACGGCCGGGUAAUACCGCGUACGACCACAUGGUGACAUCCCUGAGUGGUGAAAGCAGCAAUGCGCCGAUGGAGUGCCUCGCGGCCUAUCAGCUAGUUGGUGGGGUAACGGCUCACCAAGGCAACGACGGGUAGCUGGUCUGAGAGGAUGGCCAGCCACAUUGGGACUGAGACACGGCCCAGACCUNUACGGGAGG
rnacentral:rRNA from 1 species